CCGCGUCUGCCCGCGCGUCGCCCGCUAUUCACUGUGCGUGCGUGCGUGCCUGUGUUUCUGACAUGGGAUUGCCAACUCUCAGGUGUGGAUCCGAGUGUGGCAGUGGAUUGUCUCCGAACAAGCUCAACUAGUGGUGCUGAUUAGUGACUGUUUGUUGGAAUGAAGUGGAUCUAAUCAUCGUA